rnacentral:pre_miRNA from 2 species
UAAAUACCCCCUCCGUCUCAAAAUUCUUAUCUUAAAUUUAUCUAGAUAUGAUCUAGUCACGUUUUAAUAUAUAGAUACAUUCAUUUCUAAACAAACCUAAGACAAAAUUUUUGAAACGGAGGAAGUAUAAG